rnacentral:rRNA from 1 species
AACGAACGCUGGCGGCGUGCCUAACACAUGCAAGUCGAGCGCGAAAGGGCUUCGGCCCCGGUAGAGCGGCGCACGGGUGAGGAACACGUGAGUAAUCUACCCUUCGGCGGGGACGAACUGCUGGAAACGGACAGCUAAUACCGCGUACAGUCUUGGAAUCGCAGGGUUUCGAAGAGCAAAGAGGGCUUCGGCUCUCACCGGAGGAUGAGCUCGCGUCCCAUUAGCUAGUUGGCGGGGUAACGGCCCACCAAGGCUCAGAUGGGUAACUGGUCUGAGAGGAUGAUCAGUCACACUGGAACUGAGACACGGUCCAGACUCCUACGGGAGGCAGCAGUGGGGAAUAUUGCGCAAUGGACGAAAGUCUGACGCAGCAACGCCGCGUGGGUGAUGAAGGCCCUUGGGUCGUAAAGCUCUUUCAGUAGGGAGGAAUUAGUAGGGUUAAUAACCUUAUGAAAUGACGUUACCUACAGAAGAAGUACCGGCUAACUCCGUGCCAGCAGCCGCGGUAAAG